GAUGAACGCUGGCGGCGUGCCUAAUACAUGCAAGUCGAGCGAACAGAUAAGGAGCUUGCUCCUUUGACGUUAGCGGCGGACGGGUGAGUAACACGUGGGUAACCUACCUAUAAGACUGGGAUAACUUCGGGAAACCGGAGCUAAUACCGGAUAACAUUUGGAACCGCAUGGUUCUAAAGUGAAAGAUGGUUUUGCUAUCACUUAUAGAUGGACCCGCGCCGUAUUAGCUAGUUGGUAGGGUAACGGCUUACCAAGGCGACGAUACGUAGCCGACCUGAGAGGGUGAUCGGCCACACUGGAACUGAGACACGGUCCAGACUCCUACGGGAGGCAGCAGUAGGGAAUCUUCCGCAAUGGGCGAAAGCCUGACGGAGCAACGCCGCGUGAGUGAUGAAGGGUUUCGGCUCGUAAAACUCUGUUAUUAGGGAAGAACAAACGUGUAAGUAACUGUGCACGUCUUGACGGUACCUAAUCAGAAAGCCACGGCUAACUACGUG
rnacentral:rRNA from 1 species